GUUGUUGGGUAGGGGAGCGUUCUGUAAGCCUGUGAAGGUGUGUCGUGAGGCAUGCUGGAGGUAUCAGAAGUGCGAAUGCUGACAUAAGUAACGAUAAAGCGGGUGAAAAGCCCGCUCGCCGGAAGACCAAGGGUUCCUGUCCAACGUUAAUCGGGGCAGGGUGAGUCGACCCCUAAGGCGAGGCCGAAAGGCGUAGUCGAUGGGAAACGGGUUAAUAUUCCCGUACUUGGUGUUACUGCGAAGGGGGGACGGAGAAGGCUAUGUUGGCCGGGCGACGGUUGUCCCGGUUUAAGCGUGUAGGUGUGUGUUCCAGGUAAAUCCGGUUCACUUUAACACUGAGGCGUGACGACGAGGCACUACGGUGCUGAAGCAACAAAUGCCCUGCUUCCAGGAAAAGCCUCUAAGCAUCAGGUAACAUCAAAUCGUACCCCAAACCGACACAGGUGGUCAGGUAGAGAAUACCAAGGCGCUUGAGAGAACUCGGGUGAAGGAACUAGGCAAAAUGGUGCCGUAACUUCGGGAGAAGGCACGCUGACACGUAGGUGAAGUGAUUUACUCAUGGAGCUGAAGUCAGUCGAAGAUACCAGCUGGCUGCAACUGUUUAUUAAAAACACAGCACUGUGCAAACACGAAAGUGGACGUAUACGGUGUGACGCCUGCCCGGUGCCGGAAGGUUAAUUGAUGGGGUCAGCGCAAGCGAAGCUCCUGAUCGAAGCCCCGGUAAACGGCGGCCGUAACUAUAACGGUCCUAAGGUAGCGAAAUUCCUUGUCGGGUAAGUUCCGACCUGCACGAAUGGCGUAAUGAUGGCCAGGCUGUCUCCACCCGAGACUCAGUGAAAUUGAACUCGCUGUGAAGAUGCAGUGUACCCGCGGCAAGACGGAAAGACCCCGUGAACCUUUACUAUAGCUUGACACUGAACAUUGAGCCUUGAUGUGUAGGAUAGGUGGGAGGCUUUGAAGUGUGGACGCCAGUCUGCAUGGAGCCGACCUUGAAAUACCACCCUUUAAUGUUUGAUGUUCUAACGUGGACCCGUUACCCGGGUUGCGGACAGUGUCUGGUGGGUAGUUUGACUGGGGCGGUCUCCUCCUAAAGAGUAACGGAGGAGCACGAAGGUUGGCUAAUCCUGGUCGGACAUCAGGAGGUUAGUGCAAUGGCAUAAGCCAGCUUGACUGCGAGCGUGACGGCGCGAGCAGGUGCGAAAGCAGGUCAUAGUGAUCCGGUGGUUCUGAAUGGAAGGGCCAUCGCUCAACGGAUAAAAGGUACUCCGGGGAUAACAGGCUGAUACCGCCCAAGAGUUCAUAUCGACGGCGGUGUUUGGCACCUCGAUGUCGGCUCAUCACAUCCUGGGGCUGAAGUAGGUCCCAAGGGUAUGGCUGUUCGCCAUUUAAAGUGGUACGCGAGCUGGGUUUAGAACGUCGUGAGACAGUUCGGUCCCUAUCUGCCGUGGGCGCUGGAGAACUGAGGGGGGCUGCUCCUAGUACGAGAGGACCGGAGUGGACGCAUCACUGGUGUUCGGGUUGUCAUGCCAAUGGCACUGCCCGGUAGCUAAAUGCGGAAGAGAUAAGUGCUGAAAGCAUCUAAGCACGAAACUUGCCCCGAGAUGAGUUCUCCCUGAGACUUAGAGUCUCCUGAAGGAACGUUGAAGACGACGACGUUGAUAGGCCGGGUGUGUAAGCGCAGCGAUGCGUUGAGCUAACCGGUACUAAUGAACCGUGAGGCUUAACCUUAC
rnacentral:rRNA from 10 species